UACGUAGGGUGCAGGCGUUAAUCGGAAUUACUGGGCGUAAAGCGUGCGCAGGCGGUCUUUUAAGUCAGAUGUGAAAUCCCCGGGCUUAACCUGGGAACUGCGUUUGAAACUGGAAGGCUAGAGUGUGGCAGAGGGGGGUGGAAUUCCACGUGUAGCAGUGAAAUGCGUAGAUGUGUGGAGGAACACCGAUGGCGAAGGCAGCCCCCUGGGCUAACACUGACGCUCAUGCACGAAAGCGUGGGGAGCAAACAGG
rnacentral:rRNA from 1 species